rnacentral:rRNA from 1 species
AACGAACGCUGGCGGCAUGCCUAACACAUGCAAGUCGAACGAUGGUUUCACUUCGGUGGGGCCAUAGUGGCGCACGGGUGAGUAACACGUGGGAACCUGCCUUUCGGUUCGGGAUAACGUCUGGAAACGGACGCUAACACCGGAUACGCCCGCCCAGCGAUGGGUUGGGGAAAGUUUACGCCGAGAGAGGGGCCCGCGUCCGCUUAGGGAGGUGGUGGGGUAUCGGCCCACCAAGCCGACGAUCGGUAGCUGGUCUGAGAGGAUGAUCAGCCACCAUGGGACUGAGACACGGCCCAGACUCCUACGGGAGGCAGCAGUGGGGAAUAUUGGACAAUGGGGGCAACCCUGAUCCAGCAAUGCCGCGUGAGUGAUGAAGGCCUUAGGGUUGUAAAGCUCUUUCGCACGCGACGAUGAUGACGGUAGCGUGAGAAGAAGCCCCGGCUAACUUCGUGCCAGCCGCCGCAGUAA